rnacentral:rRNA from 1 species
CCUACGGGUGGCAGCAGUGAGGAAUAUUGGUCAAUGGGCGAGAGCCUGAACCAGCAAAGUCGCGUGAGGGAGUACUGCCCUAUGGGUUGUAAACCUCUUUUGUCGGGGAGCAAAAGCCGGACGUGUCCGGCUGUGAGAGUACCCGAAGAAAAAGCAUCGGCUAACCCCGUGCCAGCACCCGCGGUAAUACGUGGGAUGCGAGCGUUAUACGGAUUUAUUGGGUUUAAAGGGUGAGCGGGCGGAUUUUUAAGUCAGCGGUAAAAUCGUGGGGCUCAACCCCAUCCAGCCGUUGAAACUGGGGAUCUAGAGUGUGCGAGAGGUAUGCGGAUUGCGUGGUGUAGCGGUGAAAUGCAUAGAUAUCACGCAGAACCCCGAUGGCGAAGGCAGCAUACCGGUGCACAACUGACGCUCAGGCACGAAAGCGUGGGUAUCGAACAGGAUUAGAUACCCCAGUAGUC